rnacentral:lncRNA from 1 species
UAUCAUUCCCACUUUACAGAUGUGGAAGCCCUGGCAGUGAGCACAGUAGUUCAUGGGUUGCUCAUUGCUCGUGGCCACCCAGAAGCACAGAUCCAGUUCCCAGCCCAGUGCUCCUCCAGCAGCCCAGGUGGGCAAAUGGCGUCUAUGAGCUCUUGAGGGCUUUGCAGCGGUAGCCACAAAUACCAGACUACGUCUUUUCCCUGUCGACCCAGGGCUUCCUUUGGGGACCUUUGAGAGCCUGAGUAGCUAAAAGUGCCCUGCCAGGCUUCCUCCUCCUGUCUGGCAAUAUGGACUUGGAAAGCAAGACCCUGGCAGCAAGAGGCACGGCUAGUGCCCAGGCUGGGCUGCCCCCAAGAGUGGCCGGGCACGUCAUUUGGGAUCUGAGAGGAGAAGCCAUUCCAUCCUGUACUUUUCCAGGCGCGGAGACAGAAAGGAUUGGGCAGAACUGAUCUGAACUCCUAGCUCAACUUUCCACCAAUGUUCUGCCCAGGGCAAAGCCUACUCUCUAUCCACCCUUGGUUAACUCAAGCAGCUGAAGAAAUGGACUAGAGACUCUAGACAAGACCAUCACCACUCUCUUCUGGGGCCACAUCAUGCUUGACCCUUAGGGUGUGAGUGGAGGGCAGCCGGGUGCACAAGGACCAGAGAAAGGCAGUGAGGACACGGGAGAAGCUGCACCUGUUAUCAGCUCAUCACUCUUGUCACACAGGGCAUGAGUCCCGGAGGCCGAGAGCUCAGGGGUAAAACGCUACUUGACCACUAGAUAACCGAGUCCCUGUAGACAUCUUCUAGGCAUCAUUUUCUUAAUGAAAGCACAGGGGCAUAGAUGUUAGCCAUGCCUGCCCCCGUAAGCUCUCCACAACCAUAACUCUUCAUUCUAUUGUUUUUCUUUUUCUUCCUGGCAGAACUAGGGAUUGAACCUAGGGCCUCAUGCAUACCAGGCAAGAGCUCUACUACUAAGCUACAGCCCCAGGACCCAUAAUUGUUACCUUCUAUUUGGAGAUGUGAGGUAGGAUAAUGCUUGUUUCUCUAUUGUAGUAAUUAAUAGGAUCGUGCUUUUUAUUGUAGUAAUUAAAUAUAUUCAAUGUCUUUGCAUAUCUACUAGCCCAUAGUAAGUAAUCAGUGAGCGCUAUCUGCUUCUAUUGCUACAAAUACUUCAGAAAUACACAAAUUAUUAAAAUGUUGAAAGAGAAAGCAAUAGGUCCCCAUGUUUGUCUCUGGGUAUUAAACUGACAGGUGACUUUUCUCAUUUCUUUGUGUCUAAAGUGAAUGAACACUGCUUUGUGAAGAAAACUAAAUCCUAUAAUGGCUUUAAAGAAUAAUAAAAAUCAUGUGCUGUUCUAAACUGGAAAUAAAACAGUGAAUGCACCUUUUUAAAAAAUAUAAAAUAGAUGUUGCAAGAUUGAUGAAAAUCAGAAACAGAUUGGAGUUCAGGUUUGGGUCUGAGAUGAGUUAUGGCAAGAGCUCCCUACUGUUGGGCCUGUGGCAUGGCCCAGAGAGAGAAAAGGAGUCACCUGACCUGGUGGCAGAUGCCACCUGACAUCUCAGAGGCAGUUAUGACUGUAGAG